GGAGCAUGUGGUUUAAUUCGAUGAUACGCGAGGAACCUUACCUGGGCUCAAAUGUAUGUUGACGUAUUCUGAAAGGGAUACUUCUUCGGACAAUAUACAAGGUGCUGCAUGGUUGUCGUCAGCUCGUGCCGUGAGGUGUCGGGUUAAGUCCCAUAACGAGCGCAACCCCUAUCAUUAGUUGCCAUCAGGUCAAGCUGGGGACUCUAAUGAAACUGCCUACGCAAGUAGUGAGGAAGGUGGGGAUGACGUCAAAUCAGCACGGCCCUUACGCCUAGGGCUACACACGUACUACAAUGGUGGGUACAAAGGGCAGCGAAACCGCGAGGUCGAGCGAAUCUCAAAAAACCCAUCAUAGUCCGGAUUGCAGUCUGCAACUCGACUGCAUGAAGUUGGAAUCGCUAGUAAUCCCGGAUCAGCAUGCCGGGGUGAAUACGUUCCCGGGCCUU
rnacentral:rRNA from 1 species